AUUAAAACACCAGUUCCCAUCCAAUCACUGAAGUUAAGUAACAUCGAGCCUGGUCAGUAUCUAGAUGGGUGACCACUUGGGAAUACCAGGUGCU